rnacentral:rRNA from 1 species
UGCGUAGGUGGCCGGGUAAGUCUGAUGUGAAAUCUCGAAGCUUAACUUCGAAACUGCAUUGGAUACUAUUUGGCUGGAGGGUUGGAGGGGGGACUGGAAUUCUCGGUGUAGCAGUGAAAUGCGUAGAUAUCGAGAGGAACACCAGUGGCGAAGGCGAGUCCCUGGACAACUCCUGACACUGAGGCACGAAAGCUAGGGAGCAAACA